rnacentral:lncRNA from 1 species
UUCUUACAAAUCUUGAUUUUUUCUAUAGUUUAGUCUAACUUUAUCCUAGACAAGUAAAAAUAUAUAAGAUUGAUAUAUCCAAACCAUUAUUGGUAGGUACAAGAACUUUCAUCCACGUUGCAAAAAAAUACUUAGCUUUUGUUAUAUAUGCCUCACAUAUUGUUGAUAGAAAAAAGAUUUCAAGUGGCAUUCCAAGCCGAUACCAAGAUUAUCAAGACAUCUUUGAAAAAAAAAAUUAUAUCUAUAUAUAUCUAUAUAUAUAUGUUCUCAUGAUUGUUCCAUUGAUUUUCAAGAAGAAGCUUAACCACCAUUUCGACCAAUCUAUAGCCUAUUACAUGAUAAGUUGGUUGAAUCCAAGAAAUUUAUUAAUAAAAAUUUAACUAAGAACUUUAUAUGCCAUUCUAAAUCUCUAGCCAAAGCUCCUAUCUUAUUUGUGAUGAAAAAAAAUGGAUCUCUAUAGAUGUGUGUGGACUAACAAAGAUUCAAUAAGAUCACUAUUAAGAAUAGAUAUCUUCUAUCUUUGAUUUCAAGACUUUUUGAUCAAUUAAAUCAAGCAAAGAUCUAUAUAAAAAUAGAUCUUUGAAGAGCAUAUAAUUUAAUAUGUAUUAAAAAAAGAGACAAAUAAAAAAUUAUAUUUUAAAUUAGAUAUUGAUAUGUUAAAUAUAAUGACAUGCCUUUUGGACUCAUAAAUGAAUCAACUUCUUUUCAACAUCUAAUAAAUGAUGUAUUUUGUAAGUUUUUUGAUGAUUUUUUUGUUUAUUAUUUAAACAUCUUGAUUUAUUUUAAGAACAUAAAAAAGAAUAAACUUUAUAUUUUUCAUGUGUUACAAAAAUUAAAUGAUACAAGAUUACAUCCCAAGAUAAAAAAGUGUAUAUUUCACAUUACUCAAGUUGACUUUUUAAGAUACAUUAUUUCAAAAAAUGGUCUUAUAAUGGAUCUUAAAAAGGUCCAAACUAUCAUAAAUUAGAAAAUCUAAAAAAUAAUAAGAAAUUUGUAAUUUUUUUUGAAUUUUUAAAAUUAUUAUCAAAUCUUCAUUAUGAUUUUUUUUUUUUUUUUUUUUUUUUUUUUUUUCAAAUUGUGGCCUCUCUUACAUUCUUGACAUGUAAAGAAAAACUUGAGUAGAGCAAAGAAGCUAAAGCAUCUUUUGAAGCCUUAAAGAUAAGACUUAUUUCUAUACCAAUCUUAUAUUGCACCAAUUUUUUGAAGGCAUUUUUUAUGCAAACAAAUGCAUCAAACUUUGCUAUAGAUGAUGUUUUGUCUGAAAUAGGAGCAGAUAAUAAGCUCCAUCCAAUAGCUUUUUAUUUUAAAAAAUUUUCAGCAUCCAAGAUUAAUUAUGACAUCUCUAAUAAAGAACUUCUUGCAAUUGUGGAUUCAUUUUAAAAAUGGCGUCAUUAUCUAGAAAGUGCUUCUAGUCUAGUCAUCAUAUAUAUAAAUUAUAGCCUCAAAUAUUUCAUGUCAAUACAUAUUUUAAAUCAUCGCCAAGUCCAUUGGAGCAUGACUUAAUCAAGAUUUGAUUUAAAAUUACUUAUCAACCUAAAAAACAACAAAGUUUGUUAGAUUCUAUAUUUGUGAUAGUAGAUCAUUUUAUUAAGAUGGUACAUUUUAUACUAUGUAAAAAAUGUGUUAGAAGAGAAAAAAUGGCUAAGCUUUUUUUUGACAAUAUUUAUUGCUAUUAUGGAUUGUCCAAAGAUAUUAUAUUAGAUACGAAGACUCAAUUUGUAUCAAGAUUGUAACAAAUUAUUUUUAAGAUUCUAAAGAUGGAUAUAAAGCUCUCUUAGGCUUUACAUCUUUAAAUUGAUGGACAUACAAAAUGGAUUAAUCAAGUUUUGGAGCAAUAUUUGAGGUAUACUAUCAACUAUCAUUAAGAUAAGUGAACAAUUCUUUUGCCAUUGAUAGAGUUUGGAUACAAAAAUUUCAUACAUUCUUUUAUUCAAAAAAUACAUAUCUUUGCAAAUUAUAGUUAUCAUCCAUAAUUUGAUAUUUUUGACUUUUAAAAAGUUAAUAAUCUUACAAUAGAAGAUUUGAUGAGUUAUUUUUUAGAGCUACAAGGAACAAUAAAAGAGUAAUUAAUCGAAGCUAAAAAAUGUCAAAAGAUCAAUGCAGAUGCCUAUCACAAAGAACAACCACAAUUCACCCUUAGUGAUAAGAUAUGGCUUUUUUGUUGUAAUAUUAACACUAUUUGUCCUUGCGAUAAAUUAGACUAUUGUAAGCUUGGACUUUUUCUUAUUUGUGAACAAGUCAAUCAUGUUGCUUAUCAAUUAUAUCUAUCAGAGUCUAUGAAGAUCCAUCUAGUAUUCCACAUGUCUCUUCUUGAGCCAUAUAAGAUAGUAAAUAUCUUACAAAGAAGAUAAAUGCCACUUCUUCCUAUAAAAGUAGAUAAUAAUCAAGAAUUUGAAAUAGAAGAAGACUUAGAUUUAAGACGAUGCCAAAAUAGAUUAGAAUAUUUUUUUUAUUGGUACGGAUACGAUAUUAGUGAAUGUACAUGGUAGCUAACAAAGAAUCUUACAAAUGCAACAAAGAAGGUUGAGGCUUUUUAUUGAUAACAUUCAUCAAAAUUAAGGAAAAAAUUAUAAGAUCUAUAAAAGUUGAUGUGUAAUAAGGUAUAGAUAAGAUAUUUGUAUAGGGAUAAAUAAUUAGAAUAAUAGAAGUUUUUAGAAUUAGAAUUAGAUUAAUGGAUUAGGUAGGACCUACCAUAAAACAUUUUAGAAAGACUUUAGGAUAAUUAUUUAGGUAGGACUACUAUAGAAUCUUCUAAAAAGAAUUUAGGAUGAUUAUCUAAAAAAAGUCCAUCAUAGAACCUUCUAGAAGGAGCUUAAGGUGGUUAUCUAAGUAUGGUCCACUACCUAGGAACAUUCUAGAAAGUCCAAGGUUAUAAAAUAAAGUAUAAAUAAGAUUGACUAGGACCUUUUAGAAUAUUUGGUCAAGUAUGACUUUGAACUUUUUUUCUUAAUACAAUUGGAUUUUGUAUCUUCCUAUUUUAUUUUGUUCUGUCUUAAUUCUAGCUAUUUAGUUUUGUCUUCCAUGUCUCAUUCUAUUUAAUUCUAUUCAAUUUUGUUCUGAUUUAGUUUGUUCUAGAUUGUGAUGAGAUUUUAUGUUGUUGUAGAUUAGAAGGAUCUUGGACACUUGAAAUAGACUAGUCAUGUUUUAUUAGUAUCAAAGCAAGUAUUAGACUAUUUAUUUUUGGUACUAUGUCAAUUCUCAUCAUGUAGUCCAAGGUCGAUUGUUGUGAUCACACUGAAUACUGUGUUGAGUCUACCACAAGAUAUUCUUAAAAAGUUAACCAAGAGAUCAAAAGGCAUUACAAUAGUCAAAUCCAAUGGAGAAAUUAUAGCAUGAGAGAUGUGAAUAUAAUUAAAAGCUCCAAUGGUUAGUUAUAAUUUUUUUUGUAAUUUUUAACAUAUUUUUACUAAUUUUAAUGCUAAUAUAACUAAUAAAUAGAUCCAAAUUAGUUUUUUAGUUAAUUAUGACUUUAAUCAUAUUUUUAGGUUAUUAAUUAGAUGGAUACUUCUAAUUAGUGGAUUGAUUGACUAUUUUAAAAUUCAAAAGAAAAAAAUAAUAAAUUUAGAAGGUCUAUGAUUUUUUUUGAAUUACUUUAUAUCUUUUUUUAGUAAUAAAACUACAAUUUUAAUAGAAUUUUUCUUCUAAUUCUUAGGAAUUAUAUCUUAAAUUAAUCCACAAUAUUAAUUUUUAAUCUAAAAGAAAAUUUCUAAUUUGACUAUAGUUAAAAAGUUCCUUAAAUCUAAUUGCUCUAUCUUCUUAAUUAAUUUUGAGAUUUUUAAGCUUAAAUUUUAUUUUAUAAUUUAAUUGGAUUAAAAAUAUAAAGUCUAAUUGUUAAAUUAAUGAUGAUCUUAAAAAGAUGGAGACAAGCUAAAUUUUUGGUGGAGUUUCCUCUCAUAAUAAUUUUAAUCACUACUUGAAGUUGAAAAAAAGGAAAAAUUAGAAAAAAUCACAAAUUCAAGGCCAAUUUGCAAUUAGGUUUUGGAUUUGCUAAGAGUUCAUGCUUAAGGGAGUUUAAAUUGAAGAAUGGUGAUUAUAAAGGCUUUGAUGGCAAGAACCCUUGCUGAUUUCCAAGUAGGUUAAUUAGAAUUAGAAUUGUAGUUGAAAUUUAUAACUAAAUUAGUAAAUUAAUUCAUUCUUAUGAUUUAGAACUCAGAUUUGGGCUUGUGAAUAGUUGAUUGUAGGGUAAAAAUAUGUUUUAAAGACAUUGGUGGUAUUAGUUUCACCAAAAAUGUGUUAGUUUUUGAGUUCUAGGCAUUUCAAGCCUUGCAAUCGGAUUUGAGCUGAGAGUUAUUUAGGACCCUUGAUCUUGAUUAGGGAGUUUCCGAUUUUGAUGGUGGAGAUGUGUCCACUACAUUUGGGCCUCCUCCUACCUGGUUAAGAGGGCUUAGAUGACUGAGCUCCCUCUCUCUCUCUCCAUCUUCUUGUGGCGAAGCCAUGGCAAAAUGUUCCCCCAUCUUGUGAAUGCAAAUCUUCUUCUUUAAACUUGUAUGGCCUUGGUUUUUACUCGCUCAGUCUAUUUCUUUUUAUUUUCUAUCUAUCAAACUUAAUAAGAAGAUUCUACUUACCUUUAGCUUUGUAAUGGCAUAAGCCUACCUGAUUUGAAGUUGUGACAAAUUUUUUGCGAGUUUUUAAGGUGGCAGGGGUCUAUUGCCUUGGUAGUGUAGGAGCGUCGGUUUAAAAAAUCUAUAACUCGGUGACCUGUGACUCAACUUUGAUGUGGAUUAUUGAAAUGAAUGCAUUCUAAAGCUUAGUUUAUUAAAAAAAUUUAAAUCCCUAAUUUUCAAUCUAUAUCAAAUUUUUAAUGAAUUUUUAAAUGUAAAGGAAUCUAUUGCCUUGGAGUAUUGAACAACCAGCUUUGAAAAAUUGUAUCUUAGUACUUAUAUUUUUUUGCUGAAAUUUGUUGGAAAAGGAACUCUACUAAGUAUGGUUUUAGAAAAAAUUAUCUAUUUUAAACUAUUAACUGAUUUUUGUGAAUUUUUAAGUAGAAAGGAGUCUGCUGCCUAGACAACUCAAGUCUCUUUGUUUUGAAAACACACAUCUCGGAUGUCAAACCUCAAAUCACCAUGAAAUUUGGUAGAUAGGAGCAAAUCUAAGUCAAUCUCAACCACAAAAAAUUUCAAUUGUGUAGGAGUUGUGUGGAAAUGUUAGCAAAUUUUUGAAUGAUAAGGGAUCUGCUGCCCUCAACUUGACAUAAUCUAAGUAAGUUUUGAUUCCCUAAUCACCUUCUAAUCACAUCCCUUAGUAUCUAAAAUGCUACAUUAUCACUCAUUCGUCUUAUUAUCAUUAAUUAAUAUUAUUUAAUAAUUUCAAAGAAUUUUUACAUCACUUUGAAAAUUAAUCUUAAAUUCUUAUCUUUCCAUCCAUUGUUACCCUUUAAAGAAAAAAAAUAUAAAAAAUAAAAUAAAAAUUAAUAUGAUCUUUUCAUUUUUUCUUGUUUCUUAUAACCUAAAUCUUUUAACUUUUAAUUUUAACCUUAAUCUUUUAAUUUUUACUUUUAAUCUUAAUCUUUUAACUUUUACUUUUAACCUUAAUCUUUUAAUUUUUAUUUUUAACCUUAAUCUUUAACUUCCAUUACUUUUAAACUUUCACUUAAUUUUUAAUUAUUAAUUCUAACUUUAAUUUUAAUUUAAUUUUUUAAUCUUCCAACUUUCAUCUUUUAUCUUAAAAAAAUCUUAACAUCAUGUUAGUGCUGAACUUAAAUAUUUAAGGCUGUUUAUUACUAAAUUUCUAAUUCUAGAUGAAGUUUUGACAUAAAAACUUCAUCCAUAGAUAAAUUCUUAUAUAGAACUUCGAUUUACAUGGUUAAUACUACCUUCAAAAGCCCUUGACUAGCAUGCUAGCAUGGUAUUCAUUGUUUUUAUUAUAUUUUAUUCUAAUUCAUAAUUUUCAGAGUUUAAGUUUGAUGGAAUAAGUCUUGGAAGGCACUUAAUUAAAUGAACUACAAAUGCUAAAAAUUAAAUCAUAAAAAGGUAUAACUAACUUGUUGUGUUGUUGGAUUGAUCUUGAUUAUUACAUUAUUUUGGUUUUUCUAUCUUAUAGAUGAUUUGCAUCUCUACAUUAAUUAAUAUUGAGCUUUAAUAUAAGUUAUAAUCUAAUUAAAUAAAAUUUAAGUGAGGGGAGAAAAAUCCACUCUCAAGAGAUGUGGCAAAGUAAUUUCAAAUAGAGGCUCAAAUACAACACCUCUUAGGCCAAAUAGCUAUUUUGCAAGAGCAACUAGAGGCCUUAAGGUGAAGGGAGUUGACAUCUACUAGACUGAAAUUGAAUAAGCGUAGUACAUACUCUAAGACUUGAAGAUAAGAAGAUGUAUGUUAAUAGCUCUUCAACAUGUGAUAAUAUCUUCAAUUAACUUAAGUAAAUAUCACUAAAGAAAUUAUGAAUACAGUGAGCUAUUUGAGAGAUGCGAUAGUUAUUUGGUGGCAACAUUAAGUUCAAAGCUAUGGAAUUUAAGGUGGAUUUUGUAACUAGGAGGAAUUUGAGACUGAGUUUAAGAAUCAAUUUUGGCCAAGUAAUGGAGAGAAGAUAAUAUGUGAUCAGUUGGCAAAUCUUAUACAAUCUAAAUUAGUAAAAGAUUAUGUCUCUCGAUUCAAGUCUCUAUAUCUCCAAAUUUACAAUGUUUCAGAGGCAAAGAUGAUGGAUUGAUUUCUACAAGGUUUGAAAUCUGGGAUCUAGCAAGAGGUGGAGCUAAAUGAUCCACAAACAUUCAAAGAAAUAAUUUGGAUUGUAGAGAGGAUCGAUGCUAUGGAUUUCAAAAAUCAUAGAGUAAGACCUAUAGUAUGAAGCUCUAUGCUAUUAUCUAAUACUAUGGUACAACAAUAAAUACCAAUGGAGAUUGAUGCCCAACAAAGAUCAUUGAUACUACUAAGAUAAUAAAUAUUGGUGCAAAAAAAAUUGUAUUUCUAUUGUCAUGAGCCAAGCCAUCAGACCAAAGAUUGUUCAAAACAUCAAAAUUCAAGCACUUGCAAAACAAGGCGAGUUCACAGUCUUAAAAAUCACCAAAUUAAUAAUGAAACAAAACAAAAAAAUGAGACUUCUUAGUAAAGGCACCAAGGGCUAGUAUUAAAAAUAGCUACUAUCUCUUAGAGAUAAAUAGCAUGGCUUUGGAUAACUAUAAAAAAAUUGAAUAGUUCAUCUAAUAAGACUACUAAGAAGACAAUUAUGUCAAGUAUUUUUAAAUUGUGGCUCUAUGAAAAAUUGCAUCUCAACUAAAAUUGCCAACUAACUUAGAAUUAAAACUAAGACAAUCAUGGGACAAAAUAUAUACCUUGCAUAUGACUGAGAGAAUAUAUUGAGUGAGUCAUGUGAAGAAAAAACCUUGACAUUGACUAACACCUAUGUCUUAAGAGAGAAGUUUUAGAUGAUAAAGUUAAGAUAUGAUAUUAUCUUUGAUAUGCCAUGGCUAAAAAUAGAAAAUAAAUAAGUUGAUUGGAUAAUAAAGACAAUCUCUUUUAAAAAUAGUAGACGCAAGGUGAUUCUUUGCACCUUUAUAUGAAAUGAAGAAGAAAGACAAUCUAUAAUCAAAGACUUAUUUGUAGGGACAAUCUUUAUGAAGAAGCACAUACAACAUAAGCAAUCAAUAUAUAUAGUGGUUCUAAAUCUUGCAUCAAAGGUAAAAAAGACAACUAAAGGAGCAGAUCAAUUCAUACAAAAAUAUUAAGAUAUCUUCUCAAUCAACCUAUCUAGUGGCAUGCUUCUUGAUUAAGAUGCCUCUUUUCAAAUAGAAUUAUUACUUAGAGCCAAACUAGCAAGUCAAUCAAUUUAUUACCUAGCGCCAAAAGAACUUGAAGAGUUGCGGAAGAUAUUGGACGAACUCUUAGAAAAAAGCUUCAUUCAAGAAAGCCCAUCACCAUAGAGACCACCUAUAUUUUUUGCAUCCAAGAAAGAUGGUGGUCUUUGCCUUUGCAUUGAUUAUCAAGGCCUAAAUAAGUAGACUGUUAAGAAUGCAUAUCCACUUCCAUAUGUGGAUGAUCUUCUUGAUCAACUUUGAGGUGCAACUAUCUUUAAUAAAUUGGAUCUUUAGGGCAGCUAUUGGCAAAUACCUAUUGCAAGAGAGGUUAUAAAAAAAACAACAUUUUGUAAGUGCUAUGGUAUCAAGGACAUGAAUCUCGAAGAAACGAAAUCCUCAAUAUACUCUUCUAUUAGUGAAAAGAAUUAGAAAUUCACUCAAAAGGUGAUGUAAUAUUAACUAGAAUGGCUAUUGUCAAAAACAAGAAAACUAGAAAGUCUUGAAACAAGACCAAGACUAGAAAGGCAUUGACAAGAGUGAAGAAGGCUUCACUCUUGCCUCCAUAUAUACUAUCUAACUAAGAGCCAUGUGGCGAUGUCCUAUAGGACCUCCAACAUGUGUUGACUUUGCUAGCCAUAUAUCUUAUCUUGCAAGGCAAGUUAUUUAUGUAUGUGCCACAUAGUUGGCAUGAUCCACAAGCUAUUACAUGGAGGUAACUUGUUCCACAAGCUACCAAUAUAUGAUUAGCUUUUUGGCCAAGUUUCUAACCUACGAACAUAUCUAAAGUCAAAACUGCAUCUAUGAAGCUUCUAAGAAGCUUCUCUAUAAGACUUUAUGAAAUUAUUCUAUUUUACCUAUUUCUACUUAAUCAUAUAAGUAACUAUUGAGAUAAAUAUAUAUGUCCAUGACAUUACCUCCCUUUCUAGGGACGAGUUCCACGAGGAGCAAUCUUCAUAUGUUGAGGAAGUCCAAGAUAUGGCAAAUUAUAUUUGCUACAUACUCUGAUCUUUACUCUCUUCAAAGAUGGUUGAUAGGUCCUCUCAAUCAUCUAUAGUAUACUAUACUAGGGUGAGAAGACCACCCUGUUAUUUCGUCAUUGUUAAGGCCUUCAUAACUUCCUUCAAAUAAAACAUUUGGAAUACCGUCAGGAGUAGUUCUUACCUCUAAUAAAGUCACUAAACAUCGGAAUUCUCUUCCAAGGUCGUGAUAUCAAACACGUUGUAUCUCGCCAUCUAUUCAAAGAAGGACAUGUCAUUCUUGAGGAUCUUCAUCUCGAUUCCGUCAUCUUGAAGGUUGUGACAAUCUCAAUAUCUCAUCUAGUAAGUCCGCAAAUAAAAGCUCUUGAGUUGAAUUUGCUGCUUGUUGGUGCUCCAUUUCAUCAUAAAUACAUAGAAGCUAUAAUGAAAGAUAGAAGGUAGAAUGUUAUUUUCCUUUGAUCUUGUUUCUUUUAUAGCAAAGGUUUGCUGUUCUUCAUCUUGGUUUUCAUAGAUGUCAUUGAUGAAAGACUUCAACUUUCUUUGCUGCAUUUAUAAGAUUCUUUGAUGGCUCCCAUGUACUUUCACUAAUAUCAUAUCCGUGCCAAUGAAUAAGAUAUUCCAACCUAUUUUGGUACCACCUUAAGUCUAAGUCUUCUUCUACCUCAAACUCUUAGUUAUUAUCCACUUCUAUAGGAAGAGGUGGCAUUUUUCUUCUUCUCAAGAUAUUCACUGUCUUAUACGGCUCCAGAAGAGAUACAUGAAAUAUAUUGCGGAUCUUCAUAGACUCCGAUAGAUGUAAUCGAUAGGCAACAAAAUUGAUUUGUUCACAAAUAGGAAAAGGUCCGAGCCUACAAUAAUCUAAUUAAUCACAAGGACGAGUAGUCUUGAUAUUAUGACGAAGUAACCAUACCUUGUCAUCCAUAUUAUAUUGUGGUUGCUCUUUGCGAUAGGCAUUUGCAUUGGUCUUUUGUCUUUCUUGAGCUUCCUUUAAUUGUAUCUUCAUUAUUGUAUGUAGCUUUGACAAGCAAUUUGCUAAAUCUUCCAUCGUAGGAUUAUCAACUUUUGAAAAGUCAAAAGUAUCAACACAUGAAUGAUGACCAUAAUUAGCAAAAAAAGGUAUUUGUUUAGUGGAAGAAUGUACCGAAUUAUUAUAUCCAAACUCUGCCAAUGGUAAAAGAGUUGUCCAAUUAUCUUGAUGAUAGUUGAUGGUAUAUCUCAAAUAUUGCUCCAAAACUUGAUUUACCCAUUUUGUUUGUCCAUCAGUUUGAGGAUGAAAAGUUGAAGAAAGCUUUAUAUCCACCUUUAGAAUCUUGAAUAGGGUUCUCCAAAAUCUUAAUACAAAUUGAGUCCCUCUAUUCGAUAUAAUAUCCUUUGGCAAUCCAUGAUAGCGAUAGAUAUUAUUAAUGAAAAGCUUAGCUGUUUCUUCACCUGUGAUAGAUUUUGUACAUGAUACAAAAUGUGCCAUCUUGGUAAAACGAUCUACUAUCAUGAAUAUAGAGUCAUAAGAACCUGAGAUUGGAAGAUCCGUGAUGAAAUCGAUAGAAACAAAAGACCAUGGUUGUUCUGGAAUAGGUAAUGGCUGAAGAAGUCCAUAAGGUUGAUGAUGAGGAGUUUUUGAUCUUGAGUAAACAUCACAAGAUUGUACAAAAUCUUUAACUGUCUUCAACAUUUGUGGCCACUAAAAAUCCCUGGAUAUUAAUUCCAAAGUUUUAUUUUAUCCAAAGUAUCUUGUUGCUGAAAAGUCAUGACGAGCUUGAAGAACACGUAAUUGGGCUUCACCUUCUGGAACAUAUAGACGUCCUUCAAAAUUUAAUAGAUUAUUCUUGAAUUCAAACUUGGAAGUAUCAUGGGACUUAAAAGAAAUAUCCUUGAUAUCCUGAAUAAGAGGAUCACAGGACAUGCUUGAUUGAAUUUACUUCACAAAUAUUGAAUCAAUAGCUAAUGUUGAUUUUAUAGCUUGAAGAUGAAAAUGCUCGGGCUUCAAGAGAAUUGAUCUUUGUUGAUCAAAAGAUGCAUCUCCUUCUUUUGGUGUAAGAUAAGAACGCCUAGAAACAGUAUCUUAUAGACCUUGUUGUUUUUCAGAUCGAUAAGUGAUCUUGAAAUUGAAUCUAGAUAAAGACAUGCUCCAACAGAAUUGACAACGAUUCAAGACACGUGUUGACAUGAAGUACUCGAGGUUGUUAUGGUAUGUAUACAUGAUAACUAGACUUCAGGUGCCUUCUAGGUAAUGAUGCCAUUCUUGAAAUGAAUCCACAAUUGCAAGGAGCUCUUUGUCAUGGAUUUCAUAAUUAAUCUCAGCUCCUAAAAAAAAUUUACAAAUAGAAAGCUAUUGGAUGGAAUUUGUCAUCUAGUCCCAUUUCUAAUAACAUGGCUUCUAUAGCAAAAUUUGACACAUCUGUUUUCAUAAAAAAUGCCUUAGAGAAGUCAACAAAAUAUAAGAUUAGUGUAAAAAUAAAUUUCUUCUUUAAAGCAUCAAAUGAUGCUUCUACUUCUUUAUUCCACUCAAGUUUGUCUUUACAAGUCAAACGUGUAAGUGGAACUGCAACUUGAGAAAAAUUCUUGAUGAAGAUUCGAUAAUAAUUAGCAAAGCCCAAAAAGCAUUGUUCAUCUCGUACUGUUCUUAGAAUCUUCUAAUCUAUGAUAGUUUGAACCUUCUUAGGAUCCAUCAUAAGGCCUUCAUUGAAAAUAAUGUAUCCUAAGAAGUCAACUUGAGUAGUGUGGAAUACACACUUUUUCAAUUUGGCAUAUAAUCUUGCAUCUUUAAGUUUCUAUAACACGCGACAAACAUGAAACUCAUGUUCUUCUAUAUUCUUAGAGUAGAUUAGAAUGUCGACUAAAUAGCAAACAACAAAAUCAUCUAAAAACUCACAAAAAAUAUUAUUCAUAAAAUGUUGAAUAGCGGCCGGUGCAUUCAUGAGUCCAAAAGGCAUGACAUUAUAUUCAAAAUGUCCAUACCUAGUUUGAAAAGAAGGCUUCUAUUCAUCUCUUUCUUUGAUACGAACUAAGUUGUAUGCUCUUCGUAGAUCUAUUUUGGUAUAGAUCUUUGCUUGAUUGAGUUGGUCAAAAAGUCUUGAAAUCAAAGGCAAAGGAUACCUAUUUUUGAUGGUGAUCUUGUUGAGUCCUCAAUAAUCCACACACAUUCAUAGAGAUCUGUCUUUCUUCUUCACAAAUAAGAUAGGAGCCCCGGCUAGAGAUUUAGAAUGGAGUAUGAAGUUUUUUGCCAAAUUCUCAUCAAUAUACUCUUUUAAUGCAGCCAACUCAUUCUGUAAUAAGCUAUAGAUUGGUCCAAAUGGUGGUUGAGCUCUUUCUUGCAGAUCAAUUGAACAAUCAUAAGGUCGAUGCUCGGAAAGAAUAUCUGCAUUUUUCUUUUCAAAAAUAUCUUAGAAUUCUUGAUAUUGCUUAGGAAUACCACUCGAUGUUGUUUCACCAUUAGAAAUAGGUAUAGCAUAUAUAGCAAAAGAUGAUUCUUCUUUUGCAGCAUGCAUGAAAGCUUUUGCACCUACUAGUAAAGGUUUGGACGUACUGGACUUACAUACUUCUAUUUUGCUAACGCGAUCUUGAAUUAUACUAUCAGGAAAGUUAAGGUUUUGAAAAAUUCAAUCUAUUUGAGGGUUAUAUUUUUCUAGCCAUGAUAAUCCUAUAAUAACUAGAUUAGAGAGAAAUUUUAUUACAUUAAAUACUACUACGUUGUUAUGAUCUUUAAUUACUAUAUCUAAAGGAAUAGUUUCAUGAGUAACAUUUCCAAAAGACAAUAAACGACCAUCUAUGACUUCUACAUGUACGGAUUUAACUUUCUUCACUAAAGAUAUUUUUUGAUUUUUGGCAAAAUCUUUGUCUAUAAAACAUGCUGAGGCUCCUGAAUCUAACAAGACAAAGACUUUGUGAUUAUUAGGUCCUAAAUAUACUUCUAUUAUAAAACAAGGUGAGGGGUCUGAAGAGAGGAUAGGAUCUUUACUAGGUGUUGCACAUGAUUCCAGCCACACAAUUCCUAUUGUAGCUAGAGAAACUCGUUUCUCGACACACUAUCUUCUUUGGUAAUUGUGCUCCUCAUUUUGUAAUUGUGUUGUUUCUUUGGAUAAUAUUGAGCAGUGUGCUUAGCUUCUCCACAAUAUAAACACAAUCUCUCUUUGUGACGUUGAGUCUUUUCCUGCUUCGUGAGAGGUUUAAAAUGUAUCAUAUCAAUUUGUAUUGGUUCCGACUUUGACAAAUACAUUUUAGAAAACUUGAAAGCUACUGCCAUUACUUGACUUGUUCCUCUCUAACUAAAUCUUUUUUUUUGAUGCCUUUCAAAUAAAUGAUUGUCACAUGUAAUGGCUUGAGUAAUAAAUUAUUUCAAAGAUUCUAUUUUUAGCAUUAUUAAUAAUAAAUCUUUGACGCUAUCCUUCAAUCCAUAUCAAAAUUGGUUGAUAAGUACUUUGUCGUUUCAAUCGACAUUGCAAGCAAGAUUUUGGAAUUCGGCAACAUAUGUAGUGGCUGAUCAUGAUCCUUGCUGUAAGAAUAGAAGCUUGAUCUCUGCUACUCGUUCUCGAUCACUUUCUUUGAAUGUGGCAGUAAAUAAUUCUAGAAAUGAAUUCAAAUCGUAAAGGAGUCGUGAAUCUUUUUCUAUUAAAGGUGCAAACCAAGAGAGAGCACUUCUUGAUAGUAGUACGCCUAUAAAUCCGACUAGGGUAAAUCCAUCAAGAUAUUGGAAAGGGUGCAACCUUAGAUAAAUCUUGACUUAUUGCAAAAAUCUUCAAAAUUUUGAUCUUGUUCCAUCAAACUUCUCAAGCAUACUAAUCCUUAUCCCUGUCAUACUUGUAGAAGCAAAACUCCCUGGAUUUGGUUGUGACGUUGAUCUACUUGCUUCUUUCAACUGCACAACUUCUUGUCGCAAACUCUGAACUUCUUUCAUAGGUGUAGGCAUAGUACUUCCAUGAUUCACGUUGGAAAUACGUGAGAUUUCCACUCUUUGAGUGUUGACAAGCUCAUGAAGAUCUGCUAUAGUUGCAAAUCUAUUCUCACUUCUAUUGAAAGUAGCAUCGAUAAUCUUUCCUUUCAUAGACAACUCAAAUGAAUUCAAAAGUUAAAUUAGAGGAGGAUAAUCCGCAACCUCUAAAAAAAAAUUCCACAAAGAGGGAUAAUCCACUCUCUUUAAAGAAAAGAUCAUUGUUAGAAAACAAGAUUUUUUGUUUAAAGGUGGGUAGUCCGCAACCUUCAAAAUACAAUAAUAGAAGUGGAAUAAUCCACUCACUUCUAGAACAAGACAGAAACAAUAUGUUAGCACUCUUGUCAAACUGUCAAGGACAUGAAUCUCAAACAAAGAGAAUCCUCAAUGCACUCUUCUAUCGCUGAAGAGAACUAGAAAGUCAGCCAAAAGGUGAUGUAAUAUUAACUAGAAUGGCUAUUGCCAAAUACAAGAAGAUUAGAAAGACUUGAAACAAGACCAAGACUAGAAAGGCAUUGACAAGAAUGAAGAAGGCUUCACUCUUACCUCUAUAUAUACUAUCUAACUAAGAGUCACAUGGUGAUAUCUUAUAGGACCUCCAACAUAUGUUGACUUUGCUAGCUACAUGUCUUAUCUUAUAAGGCAAGUUAUCUAUGUAUGUGCCACGUAGUUGGCGUGUUCCACAAGCUACUACACGGAGGUAACUUGUUCCACAAGCUACCAAUACAUGAUUAGCUUUUUGGCCAAGUUUCUAACCUAUGAACACAUCUAAAGUCAAAACCGCAUCUAUGAAGCUUCUAAGAAGCUUUUCUAGAAGACUUUAUGAAAUUAUUCUAUUUUACCUACUUCUACUUAAUCAUAUAAGUAACUAUUGAGAUAAAUAUAUAUGUCCAUGACAUAUGGAUAUUUCAAAUGGCUAGUUUUAUCUUUUGGCCUCACCAAUACUCUAGCCUUUUUCAUAGGUUACAUAAACAAAUUAUUUCAGGACCUUUUACACAAGUAUGUAAUCAUCUUCAUUGAUGAUAUCCUCAUAUAUUAUAAAAUCCUUAAAGAGCAUAAAUAAUACCUAUGAGAAUAGCUAUGCCGACUACAAGAUAGUUGAUUCUAUUGUAAGCAAUCAAAAUGUGAACUUUGGAAGUUGAAAGUUACUUUUUUAGGGCAUGUGGUGUCUUCCAAAGGCAUGCAUAUGGAACAAGAUAAGAUAAAAGCAGUUGAGAAUUAUCUGACCUCCAAAGAUGCUUUUGAAGUCCACUUAUUUUUAGGCCUUACUAGAUAUUAUUGCCAUUUUGUUCAACGAUUUGCUCACAUAGUUGCUUCAUUGAUAAACCUAUUGAAGAAGGGUGGCUCAUUUGAAUGAAAACUCGAGUAGCAAAUUACCUUUAAUAAGUUGGAGGCAUUUAUUACUGCUCUAAUAUUGCAACCAUAUGAUUUUAACCUUCCUUGUACGCUUGACAUUGAAGCUUUUGACUUUUUUUUAUUAAAGUGGUCCUUCAAGAAGACCUUGAUAGGGCCUUUUAACUUGUGGUAUAUGAAUCACAUAAGCUUAGAAGAACAAAGCAUAAUUAUUCUAUAUGUGAUCAAGAGUAAUUAGUGAUUGUACACACUAUGAAGGUGUGGCGAUACUAUUUGUUGGAAAAGCCAGUGGUUAUUCAGACUAACUAUCAACCCUUGCUACACGAUUUACAUCUAGAAAAUAUAAAAUCAUGACAUUAUUGUUGGAAAGAAUAAUUACAGCUUUUUGAUAUCUAGCUUAAGUACAAGCAAGGGCAACAACAUACUAUAUCAAAUAGCUUAAUGCAAAGAUCAAACUUGAAGGACAAAUUGGAAGAUAAGAUAAAAGUUGCUACCUUAAUAGUAUCAUUUUAAAUCUAACCAAAGAGACAGAAUAAAUGAAAGCUAUGCAUUAGGAUGCUUAUUUUAAGAUGAUUAGUAAUUAAUUGAAGGUGAAUAAUAUAUAUUAUCAAGAUUAUAGUUUUAGUAAUGGCCUACUCUAUUUUUAAAAGUAGAUAUAUAUAUAUCCAACAAUAUUAUAUUUCAGAUGCGCAUACUUCAAGAGGGACAUGACAUUCCAAUAUUUGGACAUUUGAAAUAAGAAAAGUCUCUAGAAUAGAUCUCAAUGAUAUGAUUUUGAACAUAUUUGGAUUGUUAUGUUUGAGUCUUUGUCAUGCAAGUCAUGUCAAUGUAACAAAGCACACAACGUAGCAUCUCGUAGACUAUUGUACUUAAUUCCACUACUUGUGGUAUGUUAAGAGCAAGUGACUAUGGAUCUCAUUAUGUGUUUGCCGCAGACGCAUCAUAAUCAUGCCACAAUUACUGUCUUUGUGGAUCAAUUCUUGAAGCAACUUCACUUGGCCAUAGUACACUCAAAUAUUAAUGCUUCAAUGCUUACAUGAGUCUUCUUAGAUACCGUCUUUUGUGACCAUAGAUUACUUCAUAUUAUCAUUUGAGAUUGGGAUCCAUGCUUCACAAGAAGUUUUUGACAAGCCUUGUUUAAGCUACUAGGCACACAACUUGAUAUAUCUAAAAUCUUCUAUUUUCAAAUAAUUGAGUAAAUAGAACAUGCAAAUUAGACCUUGGAAGAUAUAUUGGGGGCAUUUGUGGUGAUUCAUCAUAAUGAUUGGCAUGAAUACUUGACAUCUUUGGAGUUUGCUUACAAUGAUAGUAUUCAAGCAAGUACUAAUUAUUUACUAUUUUUUCUUAAUACUACUUAGCAUUCAAUUUUGCCAAUAACUCUUCAUUGUUCCAUUCAUAUCAACAACCUGAUAAUGGAAGAAUUUAUACAAUAGCUUAUAACAACUUUACAAGAGACACGUCAUUACCUCUUUAUUGUACAAAAUCAAUAGAAGUAGUAUGUGCAUAACCAUUGGCAACAUAAGACUUUUUGAGAAGAUGAUUAGGUGUUACUCUCCAAUGCCAACUUUCCACUUACUAUAUCAACCCAAAUUUAUAAACUAACACCUCGAUAGCUUGGACCUUUCCACAUUUUUGUAGUGAUUUUUGAUAUUAUAUACCGCCUCAAGCUUUUGUCACAUAUUUAAGUCCAUCUAAUCUUCUAUAUUUUGCAACUAAAAUAAUUUCAUAGUGAGCCAAAGUGCUUUCCAAAUUGAUACCAACUACUAACAAUUGUAGUUGAUGACUAAUAAGAAUAUAAAGUGGACAAUGUUUUGGAACAUUGUUACUUUUGCCAUGGCAGUGGAUGUCCAGAAUUUUAAUACAAAGUUCUUUGGAAAGGUUAUUCCAUUCACAAUGCCAUGUAGAAACUUGCACAAAAUCUCAUCUACUGUUAAGAGACAAUUUGGAGAUACCAUUGGAAGCAAAAUGAGGAUGUUCUGCAUUAGUAGAAGAAGAUUUUUUUUUUUUUUUUUUAAUACAAUUGGAUUUUAUAUCUUCAUAUUUUAUUUUUUUCUAUCUUAAUUUCAAUUGCUCAGUUUUAUCUUCUAUGUCUCAUUCUAUUUAAUUUUGUUUAAUUCUAUUUUAGUCUAGUUUGUCCUACUUUUUAAUGAGGUUUUAUGUUACUAUGGAAUAAAAAGAUCUUGGAGACUUGAGAUAGACUAGUCAUAUUUUAUGAUGAUAGUUUUUUGUCGAAUUUAUUCUCAGAAGGAGAAAUAAUAUGACAAACAAAUAUACUUACUUUAAUAUGAUUAAGUAGAAGUAAAUAAAAGUAUAUUUAUUUUAUAAUAUUUUUUUAAAAAAAGCUUCCUAGAAGCCUCAUAAGCACUACUUUGACUUCACAUGUAUUUGUAGUUGAUUGGUAGGUUAGUAACUUGAUCAAUAAGUUAAGCACAAGUUGAUAGCUUGCAAAAUAAGCUAACUAUAUGACGCUCAUAUAAAAAACUUGCCUUGCAAGUUAAGAUAUGUAUCUUGCAAAGUCAAUAUGUUUUGGAGGUCCUAUAGGACAUCACUACAUCGCUUGUAAUUAAGAAUAUAUAUAGAGGCAAGAGUGAAGCUUUCUUCACUCUUAUCAAUGCCUUUUUAAUCUUUAGUCUUAUUUUAAGACUUUUUAGUCUUCUUAUCAUUAGUAAUAGCCAUUCUAGUUUAAUACUAUAUCAUCUUUGAGUGAUUAUUUAGUUUUUUUGAAUAAUAUAAGUGUAUCUUGAUCUUUUAGUUCUUCAAGAUUCAUAUCCUUGAUAGAAGAUCCAUAAUAUAAUCUAUAGAAAUAGAAGACCAUAGUUCUUUUGAAAUAGAUAAUGGUUAAAAAAAUCCAUUAAGUUGAUGGCAAGGAAUUUUAGAUCUUAAAAAAAUAUCACAUAAUUAUACAAAGUCUUUAACUGCCUUUCACAUUUGAGGCUACCAAAAAUCUCUUGAUAUUAGCUCCAAAGUCUUAUUGUAUCUAAAAUGUCCAACUAUUAGAAAGUCAUGACAAGCUUCAAGAAUAUAUAAUCAUGCAUUGUUUUCUAAAAUGUAUAAUUAUCUUUCAAAAUAAAAUAGAUUAUUUUUAAAUUUAAACUUAAAAAUAACAUGACACUUAAAAGAGAUAUUCUUGAUAUCAUAAACAAGAUGAUCAGAGGACAUACUUGAUUUAAUUUACUUGACAAAGAUUCAAUCAAUAGUUAAUAUUGAUUUUAUUGUUUGAAGGUGAAAAUACUUCAACUUCAAAAAAAUUAUUCUUUGUUGAUCAAAAGAUACAUCUCUUACUUUUGGUGUAAGAUAAAAAUAUCUAAAAAAGACAUUUGACAAAUCUUGUUGUUUUUUGAGUCAAUAAGUGAUCUUAAAAUCAAAUCUUAAGAAAGACGUGUUCUAACAAACUUGACAAUGAUUCAAAAUACAUAUUGAGAUGAAGUACUUGAGAUUCUUCAAAUAAGUAUACAAGAUGAUUGAACUUAAGGUACCUUUUAGAUAGUGAUGCUAUUCUUGAAAUGAAUUGACUAUUGCAAAGAAUUCUUUAUUAUAGAUCUUAUAAUUAAUCUUGACUACUAAAAAAUUUCUAAAAUAAAAAAAUAUUAAAUAGAAUUUUACAUCUACUUCCAUUUGUGACAAUAUUCUACCUAAGAUAAUAUAUGAUGCAUCUAUUUUCAUUAAAAAUAACUAAAAAAAGUCAAUACAAUAUAAGAUUGGUAUAAAAAUAAUUCUAUUUUUAAAGCAUAAAAUGAUGUUUUGGCUUCUUUAUUCCAUUCAAUUUUUUUUUACAAAUCAACCAUAUAAGUAGAGUUUCAACUAAAAAAAUUUUCUUGAUGAAGAUCUAAUAGUAAUUAGCAAAGCCCAAAAAUAUUACAUAUUUUUUAUUAUUUUUAGAAUCUUUUAAUCUAUGAUAGUCUAAAUUAUUUUUGGAUCCAUCAUUAGUCCUUUGUUGGAAAUGAUGUAUCUUAAGAAGUCAACUUGAGAAGUAUGGAAUAGACAUUUUUUUAAUUUGACAUAUAAUCUUAUAUUUCUAAGUUUUUGUAACACACAAUGAAUAUGAACUUUAUACUCUUCUAUGUUCUUAGAGUAGAUUAAGAUAUUAUUUAAAUAAUAGAAGAUAAAAUUAUCAAGAACCUCACAAAAGACAUCAUUAAUUAGAUGUUAAAAAGUAACUAGUGUAUUUGUGACUCCAAAAGACAUGACAUUAUAUUCAAAAUGUCCAUAUCUCAUUCAAAACAUAGUUUAUCAUUCAUUUAUUUUUUUAAUAUGUAUCAGAUUAUAAGCUCCUUAUAGUUAUAUUUUUAUGAAGUUCUUUGCUUGAUUCAAUUAAUCAAAAAGUCUUAAAAUCUAAAGUAGAAAAUAUCUAUCUUUGAUGGUGAUCUUGUUAAGUCCUCAAUAGUCUAUGUGCAUCCAUAGAAAUCCAUUAUGUUACUUUACAAAUAAGAUAGGAGCUCUUAGAAGAAUUUUUGAAUGGCAUAUGAAAUUUUUAGUCAAAUUUUUAUUAAUAAAUUAUUUUAGUGUAGCCAAUUCAUUUUACAAUAAGAUAUAGAUCAAUCCAAAUGGUAUCUGAGCUCUUUCUCGCAAAUCAAUUGAACAAUCAUAAGAUUGAUGCUUUUGAAGAAUAUUUAUAUUUAAUUUUUUAAAAACGUCUUUAGAAUCUCAAUAUUGGCUAGGAAUAUCACUUCACAUCUUCUCACCAUCAAAAAUGGAUAUGGCAUAUAUAGCAAAAGAUGAUCUUUCUUUUGCAGCAUGUAUGAAAGCUCUUGCUCUUACUAGCAAGGAUUUGGAUAUAUUAGACUUAUGUAAUUCUACUUGACUAAUAAGAUUUUAAAUUUCACUACCAAAAAAGUUAAAGUUGUGGAAAAUCCAAUCUAUUUGAAGAUUAUAUUAUUUUAAUCAUAAUAAUCUUAAUAUAAUUAGAUUAGAUGGAGAUCUUAAUAUAUUAAAUAUUAUUAUAUUAUUAUGAUCUUUCAUUAUUAUAUCUAAAAGAAUAUUUCAUUGAUAACAUCUCCAAAAGACAACAAACAACCACCUAUGACUUUUAUAUGUACGGAUUUAGUUUUUUUGACUAAUGAUAUCUCUUAUUUUUUGGCAAAAUUAUUUUUAAUCAAUUUCUCCAAAUAUAGUCAUAAACACUCUUAGGAAUGAAUUCAAAUCAUAAAGGAGUUAUGAAUCCUUUUCUAUCAAAGUUUCAAAUCAAAAGAGAGCACUUCUACAUAAAAGUGCACCUAUGAAUCCAACUUGAGUAAAUCCAUCAUGAUAUUUGAAUGAAUGCAACCUUAGAUAAAGCUUGAUUUGUUACAAAAAUCAUUAAAAAUUUUGAUCUAGUUUCCACAAACUUCUUUGGCAUACUAAUCCUUAUUCUUGUUAUACUUAUAGAAGCAAAACUUCUUGAAUUUAGUUAUGAGGUCGCUUUACUUGCUUCUUUUAACUGCACAACUUCUUGAUGUAGACUUUAAACUUCUUCCAUAGACAUAGGAUUAGUGUUUCCAUGAUUAGCACUUAUAAUGUAUGAAAUUUCUAUCUUAAGAGUGUUAACAAAUUUGUGAAGAUUAGUAAUAGUUCCAAAUCUAUUCUUACUUUUUUCAAGUGUAGCAUCCAUGAUUUUUUCUCCUAUUUCAAACAACUUAACAAAUUCACAAGUUAAAUUAGAAGAAGAUAAUCUACAAUAUCUAAUAUCAAAUGAAAAUUUUUACAAAGAAGAAUAAUCUGCUCUCUUUAAGAAAAAUAUCAAUGUUAGAAAACUAAACAAUUUGUAUAAAGGUAGGUAAUCCACUCACUUUUAAAACAAGACAACAAUAAUGAAUUAGAACUCUUAUCAAACUAUGAAGGACAUGAAUUUUGAGAAAUUAAAAAAUGAAGACACUCUUAUGUCAUUCAAAAAGACAAAUUAAUCAUUUAAAGAUUAAAUAAUAUUAAAUUAGAAUAACUAUUACUAAAGAUAAGAACACUAAAAAAUCUUGAAACCAAGAUCAAGGAAUAAAAAGAUAUUGAUAAGAGUGAAGAAGACUUCAUUCUUAUCCCCAUAUAUAUUCUUAACUAAGAGCUACAUAGUGAUGUCCUAUAGGACCUUCAAAACAUAUUGAUUUGCAAGACAUGUAUCUUAAUUUAUAAGGCAAAUUUCCUAUAUGUGUGCCACGUAGUUAGCUUAUUUUGCAAGUUACUAUCUACUAAUCAACUACAAAUACAUGUAAAAUCAAAGCAGCAUCUAUAAAGCUUUUAGAAAACUUUUUAAUAAAAUAUUAUGAAAUAAAUUUAUUUUUAUCUACUUCUACUUAAUCAUAUAGGUAAAUAUCAGAAUAAAUAUGUAUGUCCAUCAUAAAAAAAUAUUUUCUUUCUUCUUUCACCUAAUAGCCAUGUUACUAUAUAAUACAAGUGACAUUGUAUAAUUAUUCUUUUACAAUAUCAAGACUAUUUAUUUUUGUGAUAAAUUCGAUUAUUGUAGGUGUAGAAUAGAUAUUAAUUCAUUUUUGAAAGAUAUUGGUAAAAUAUAUUAAUAGUCCAUAUAAUAGGAAUUUCAGGAGGACAGAUGAGUGAUUUAGUUCUUAAAAGCAAUUAAUUAUAGAAUUACGGUUAGAAUCUAGAGAAUCAGGAGAAAGUAUAUAGGAGUUGUAGAAGAUAAUUAAGGUGCCAUCGCUAUGAUAGUGUGAGUCGGGGUAAGCUUGGUACUACCUCUUUUCUUUUGUUUGUUAUUUUCUUUGAAUAAGAAGAUUGAGAGUUUCUGAAUAUUGUGAAGUGAAUUAUGGAAUGGAAAUGUGAUUGGUAUUAUUUGAGAAGAAGAAAGAUUGAAUGCUGAAAUCUGAUUAUAGUUCAACAGAGAGAAUGAGUCUGUAUUUGUGUGAAACACCGUAAUGUGAAUGACAAUUCUAUGUGAAGAAUUUCAGUGAUUGGAAUGAGGGUAAUUGUGUGUUGAAAGCUGUGAGGGCACAGUAUUACAGUUGGAGAUUAUGAGGGUGAAUAUAUUGGUGGAAAUAGCAGUUAUUGGUAUGACCGAAUUGUUGUAAGGAAGAGACCGUUAAGGUGAAAGAGGAGAUUAUAGUUUCCUUGUGUGUUCAGAUAUUGGAAAUAGAGACGAUACAUUCAGGAGGUAAUUGAUUGUGUGACCCUAACGUGAACGCUUAAGCAACUAGUCAUUCCCCGUGUUUGAAUCCCCUUAUAUGGGUUUAUUCCCAUUAGAUUAAUUUGGAAUAAGUAAAACGAGCAAUCACAAUAGGCUUAUACCUUUUUUCUAUUUGUCAACAAAUUGAUCUUGUUGCUUAUCAAUUAUACAUGCUAGAGUCAAAGAAGAUCCAUUCUAUAUUUCAUAUGUCUCUUUUCAAGCCAUACAAGAUAAUAAGUAUUCCAAGAAGAAGACAAAUUCCACCACGUCUCAUAGAAGUAGAUAAUUAUAAAAAAAUUUGAGGUCAAAGAAAUCUUAAAUUCAAAGCAAUAUCAAAAUAGGUUAAAAUAUCUUGUUCAUUAGCAUGAAUAUAAUAUUAAUGAAUGCACAUGAGAGCCAACAAAGAAUCUUAUAAAUGCAAUAAAAAAAAUAAAAUUUUUUCAUCAAUAACAUCCAUGAAAAUCAAGAUGAAGAAUUGAGCAAUUCUUUGCUAUAAAUGAAAAUAUGCUUAAUAAAGAUUUUCAAAACAUUUUAUCAAUAUGUCAAAAUCUAUUAUGAUAUUUUUUAAAUUUAAUUAUUAUCAUUAAUUGUAUAAAUUAUUAUUAUUAUUAUACUUUACCAUCAUAUUAUUAUAUUUUAUCAUCACAUUAUCAUUAUGUUUAUAUAAAUUUUUAAAAUUAUUUUAAAUAUAUUAUAAAUACAUAUAUUUUCAAAAAUAGAAUCAGCAUAAUAUCAUUAUGCAUACUAACAUUCAAACAAUGACAUUUGCUAUCAAAUAUAAAACGUAUAAAAAUAAAAUUUUAUUUUAUAAAGUAAUUGUAGAAUAUUUUGAUAUUUUUAAUCAAUUAUGUUAAUUGACUUAUUGUUAUGAUAUUGAUCAAAAAAUUAAUGGUAACCAUGAUUUUGUCAAAUAACAACUAUAUCUGCAAAAGUACUUAAAUUCUUUUUACUCUAUUAUUCACAUACGAUUCUAUUAGAUUUAGUAAUGAUUUUGUAGAUGGUUAUAACAUAUACAAAUCAAAAUCCAAAUGAUUGAUUUAUUAAUCUAAAAAUAUUACUUAAUGCAAUUGAAAUAUACCAAAAACUAUAAUAAAAAAUAAAAAUCCAUAUAAAAUAAAUACAAUAAAGAUAACUCUUAUGUAUUAUUCUACAAGUUUUUCUGUUCUUUUUUAUCUCUUUUUUUUUUUUUUUCUUUUUUUUUUACAACAAACUCUACACAAAUGACAACAUAAUUCCACAUCAAGAAUACAACAAGAUAACAUAAUACAAAAUAGUUAAAGGCACUUUAUAUGCACAUAUUACAAAAUUCAUCAAUGAAAUAGUACAUUAAAUGUGUUAGGAAGAUGCUUUUGUAUUCCCGAACUUUACUAUUAUUUUUCCAAAACAUCACUGGCUUUUCACCACUUCCCAUUGUACCAAACACAUCGACACCAUUCCACUACAAUCAAAAAGAAUAUCAUGUCAACAGUGUCAAUCUUGCAUAACCACUGCUUACGAUUCUCAAGCGCUACCAAUUCGAAGCCACCAACUCCAUAACCAUCCGACAUUCUCAAUAGAUAGAUUACAAAAUGAAAAACCAACUCAAUAACCACGUGAUCAUGAGGCAUUCAAGAACCAAGAUGAUCAACACCAUCACAGGAAUAACACCAACAAGUGUGUCAACAAUCUUCACCAAUCUCAGCAAUAUGUCGAAAUCCUUGCUCCCAACAUGCCGACGUCCUACAACUUGCACUAGAUUCGCAAGAUCCUUCAGAAACUUUAAGGCAAUGGAGAAUUGCAAACCCCCAUGCAAUGAUGCACACAACAACAUUUCCACACAACUUUACCACACAAACUUACCAAUACAAGGAAUCGCAUAUCGUUAAAAAAUUAAAAAAUAAAUAAAAAAUAAAUUAGAACUCAAUAUUUCAAACCAGAAAUCUCCAACACACCCAUGCGGACACCCCGAUACUUGCUCCCCAAAACAAAUGACGGAACAUUUCCUCUCCACAGCACACCUGCCGUAUCCAUGCAAUGAUCGCAACCCUCCUCAAAUCCAGCCAUCCAACCCACACCAACCAUCAGUCUCAACACGAUCGACACGUUCUGCCACGACCAAAUGUCAUCAACUCCAGCCUUCAUAAAUACCAUAAUGCCCUCUUCAAAUGCACACCCUUGCUUCACAACCACGAUCUCAAUCGACAAUCGUCCAAACUAAAACACCAUCGCACAAACCACACCAUUAUGCUCCCGUCGCAAUUCCAUACCCGCUAAAAGCAAUCAGAGUUCACAUUCUAUGACACCCUACUCACCACGCAUAAUCACACCCAGAAAGCCC